rnacentral:rRNA from 1 species
UAGGGAAUCUUCCACAAUGGACGCAAGUCUGAUGGAGCAACGCCGCGUGAGUGAAGAAGGUUUUCGGAUCGUAAAGCUCUGUUGUUGGUGAAGAAGGAUAGAGGCAGUAACAGGUCUUUAUUUGACGGUAAUCAACCAGAAAGUCACGGCUAACUACGUGCCAGCAGCCGCGGUAAUACGUAGGUGGCAAGCGUUGUCCGGGUUUAUUGGGCGUAAAGCGAGCGCAGGCGGAAUGAUAAGUCUGAUGUGAAAGCCCACGGCUCAACCGGGGAACUGCAGCGGAAACUGUCAUUGUUGAGUGCAGAAGAGGAGAGUGGAAGUCCAUGUGUAGCGGUGGAAUGCGUAGAUAUAUGGAAGAACACCAGUGGCGAAGGCGGCUCUCUGGUCUGCAACUGACGCUGAGGCUCGAAAGCAUGGGUAGCGAACAGG